rnacentral:rRNA from 1 species
AGUGAACGCUGGCGGUAGGCCCAACACAUGCAAGUCGAACGGCAGCACAGGAGAGCUUGCUCUCUGGGUGGCGAGUGGCGGACGGGUGAGGAAUACAUCGGAAUCUACUUUUUCGUGGGGGAUAACGUAGGGAAACUUACGCUAAUACCGCAUACGACCUACGGGUGAAAGCAGGGGAUCUUCGGACCUUGCGCGAUUGAAUGAGCCGAUGUCGGAUUAGCUAGUUGGCGGGGUAAAGGCCCACCAAGGCGACGAUCCGUAGCUGGUCUGAGAGGAUGAUCAGCCACACUGGAACUGAGACACGGUCCAGACUCCUACGGGAGGCAGCAGUGGGGAAUAUUGGACAAUGGGCGCAAGCCUGAUCCAGCCAUACCGCGUGGGUGAAGAAGGCCUUCGGGUUGUAAAGCCCUUUUGUUGGGAAAGGAAUCCAGCUGGUUAAUACCCGGUUGGGAUGACGGUACCCAAAGAAUAAGCACCGGCUAACUUCGUGCCAGCCGCCGCAGUAA